rnacentral:rRNA from 1 species
GAUGAACGCUAGCGGCAGGCCUAAUACAUGCAAGUCGAACGGUGUCUUCGGACAUAGUGGCGCACGGGUGCGUAACACGUAUGCAACCUACCUUACAUUGGGGGAUAGCCUUUCGAAAGGGAGAUUAAUACCGCAUAAGACGGUAGCUGGGCAUCCAGCAGCUGUUAAAGAUUUAUCGAUGUAAGCUGGGCAUGCGUCCAAUUAGCUAGUUGGUGAGGUAACGGCUCACCAAGGCAAUGAUUGGUAGGGGAACUCAGAGGUCAAUCCCCCACACUGGCACUGAGAUACGGGCCAGACUCCUAUGGGAGGCAGCAGUAGGGAAUAUUGGGCAAUGGACUCAAGUCUGACCCAGCCAUGCCGCGUGCAGGAUGAAGGCGUUAUGCGUUGUAAACUGCUUUUAUACAGGAAGAAACGACUCUUGCGAGAGGCAUUGACGGUACUGUAUGAAUAAGCACCGGCUAACUCCGUGCCAGCCGCCGCAGUAAAAC